UACGUAGGGUGCGAGCGUUGUCCGGAAUUAUUGGGCGUAAAGGGCUCGUAGGCGUCUGUUGCGUCAGGAGUGAAAACUCGGGGCUUAACCCCGAGCCUGCUUCUGAUACGGGCAGACUAGAGGUAUGCAGGGGAGAACGGAAUCCUGGUGUAGCGGUGAAAUGCGCAGAUAAUCUGGAGGAAUACCGGUGGCGAAGGCGGCAUCCUGGACCAUUCUGACACUGAACCGCGGAAAGCUAGGGGAGCAAACGG
rnacentral:rRNA from 1 species